rnacentral:rRNA from 1 species
CGUUGACGUGGGGGCACCCUGACAGCGAUGCCGCGUGUGUGAAGAAGGCCUACGGGUUGUAAAGCACUUUCGGUGGGGAGGAGGGUAUAUUGGUUAAGAGCUGAUAGACUGGACGUUACCCACACAAGAAGCACCGGCUGAGGGGGGGGCGAGCAGCCGCGGUAAUACGGAGGGUGCGAGCGUUAAUCGGAAUUACUGGGCGUAAAGGGUUCGUAGGCGGUUAUAUAAGUUAAGUGUGAAAUUCCCGGGCUUAACCUGGGGUAGUCACUUAAGACUGUAUGACUGGAGUAUGGGAGAGGGUAGUGGAAUUUCCGGUGUAGCGGUGGGGGUGCGUAGAGAUCGGAAGGAACACCAGUGGCGAAGGCGGCUACCUGGCCCAAUACUGACGCUGAGGAACGAAAG